AUUGAACGCUGGCGGCAUGCUUUACACAUGCAAGUCGAACGGUAACAGGCCGCAAGGUGCUGACGAGUGGCGAACGGGUGAGUAAUGCAUCGGAACGUGCCCAGUCGUGGGGGAUAACGCAGCGAAAGCUGUGCUAAUACCGCAUACGAUCUAUGGAUGAAAGCGGGGGACCGUAGGGCCUCGCGCGAUUGGAGCGGCCGAUGUCAGAUUAGGUAGUUGGUGGGGUAAAGGCUCACCAAGCCAACGAUCUGCAGCUGGUCUAAGAGGACGACCAGCCACACUGGGACUGAGACACGGCCCAGACUCCUACGGGAGGCAGCAGUGGGGAAUUUUGGACAAUGGGCGCAAGCCUGAUCCAGCAAUGCCGCGUGCAGGAAGAAGGCCUUCGGGUUGUAAACUGCUUUUGUACGGAACGAAAAGGUUUGGGUUAAUACCCUGGGCCGAUGACGGUACCGUAAGAAUAAGCACCGGCUAACUACGUGCCAGCCGCCGCCGUAA
rnacentral:rRNA from 1 species